rnacentral:rRNA from 1 species
ACUCCUACGGGAGGCAGCAGUGGGGAAUAUUGCACAAUGGGGGAAACCCUGAUGCAGCCAUGCCGCGUGUGUGAAGAAGGCCUUCGGUUGUAAAGCACUUUCAGUAGGGAGGAAGGUAGUGUAGUUAACACCUGCAUUAUUUGUACGUUACCUACAGAAGAAGCACCGGCUAACUCCGUGCCAGCAGCCGCGGUAAUACGGAGGGUGCGAGCGUUAAUCGGAAUUACUGGGCGUAAAGCGCAUGCAGGCGGCCUGUUAAGUCAGAUGUGAAAGCCCGGGGCUUAACCUCGGAAUUGCAUUUGAAACUGGCAGGCUAGAGUCUUGUAGAGGGGUUAGAAUUUCAGGUGUAGCGGUGAAAUGCGUAGAGAUCUGAAGGAAUACCAGUGGCGAA